GGGGCUGUUUUCUGGAUUCGACAGGGUAGUUCAAGUUUAAUAAGCAUGCAAUCGGCAGAUUUAAAAAUGCAGGUUAAAUAUAACCGGAAAUCAAAAUUACGCUUUCGCAGCUUAAGAAGAAGUUGCGGGUUCAUCGGGGUUUGCCUAUAGGCUCUUUUGAACUUCAGAAUAUAGGACCGCUCAAUCGUCUGCAAUCUUAAGAUUAUUGGGUUAAACUAAUAGGAUUAGGCACUCAUCAGUUGGUUAACUAGCAGGUGUUUGCUGAAACAAUAUAGUUAACUAAGCAUGUAGAAAGUUAAAUGAUUGGCUAUUUUGGACAGGGGUUCAAAUCCCCUCAGCUCCACCA
rnacentral:tmRNA from 1 species